rnacentral:rRNA from 1 species
GACGAACGCUGGCGGCGUGCCUAAUACAUGCAAGUUGAGCGCUGAAGGUUGGUACUUGUACCAACUGGAUGAGCAGCGAACGGGUGAGUAACGCGUGGGGAAUCUGCCUUUGAGCGGGGGACAACAUUUGGAAACGAAUGCUAAUACCGCAUAAAAACUUUAAACACAAGUUUUAAGUUUGAAAGAUGCAAUUGCAUCACUCAAAGAUGAUCCCGCGUUGUAUUAGCUAGUUGGUGAGGUAAAGGCUCACCAAGGCGAUGAUACAUAGCCGACCUGAGAGGGUGGUCGGCCACAUUGGGACUGAGACACGGCCCAAACUCCUACGGGAGGCAGCAGUAGGGAAUCUUCGGCAAUGGACGAAAGUCUGACCGAGCAACGCCGCGUGAGUGAAGAAGGUUUUCGGAUCGUAAAACCCUGUUGGUAGAGAAGAACGUUGGUGAGAGUGGAAAGCUCAUCAAGUGACGGUAACUACCCAGAAAGGGACGGCUAACUACGUG